AGCACUGAAAACAACCCAUAAGAGACAACACAUUGCUGUUGUUUAGGGUGACUAAAUUCGUAGAUAGAAAAAUUCUAUAGACACAGUGUUUGGAUUUUAGCAAGUCACUGGCCAAAGCAUGUGAGAAAGAAUGAAGGAUAAAAAUGAAUAGUAAUAGAGAAUGGAUGGGUUCAAAAGCGGUAGGUGGACUAAUUCUCAUUUCAAAAAUUUUAACAUCCCAAUGAAGUUUGCUCUUCAUUUUUGUCUAUAUUUACAGGAGGUUUGGUGAGCCAAUUGAUGUAAAACAGUAUACAAAAUGGUUCUAACAUCAAGAUAUAUCUCUGCAGCUGUGAAACUUCUUGAUGCAUUUUUCUGGUUUGGAAGCUGACGUUAGUCCCAAAUAAAAACAAAUACCCACUCAGAUCUUUUCUUUUCUGAGCAGUUGGUGAGAGAGAGGUUGGUUUCUGGGAAGGUGAUAAUUUGGAGUCUUAUUUUUUUUCUGCCCAUUUCAUAUUAUAGAUUUAAUAUUGGCUCUGGAUCAUUGAAUGUAUUCUUCAAACUGAAUGAUGCUAGUGAGAUGACUUCAAAAGAAGAUUUUAGGAAGUAUUUC
rnacentral:lncRNA from 10 species